rnacentral:rRNA from 1 species
GACGAACGCUGGCGGCGUGCCUAAUACAUGCAAGUUGAGCGCUGAAGGUUGGUACUUGUACCAACUGGAUGAGCAGCGAACGGGUGAGUAACGCGUGGGUAAUCUGCCUUUGAGCGGGGGACAACCUUUGGAAACGAAUGCUAAUACCGCAUAAAAACUUUAAACACAAGUUUUAAGUUUGAAAGAUGCAAUUGCAUCACUCAAAGAUGAUCCCGCGUUGUAUUAGCUAGGUGGUGAGGUAAAGGCGCACCAAGGCGAGGAUACAUAGCCGACCUGAGAGGGUGAUCGGCCACAUUGGGACUGAGACACGGCCCAAACUCCUACGGGAGGCAGCAGUAGGGAAUCUUCGGCAAUGGACGAAAGUCUGACCGAGCAACGCCGCGUGAGUGAAGAAGGUUUUCGGAUCGUAAAACUCUGUUGGUAGAGAAGAACGUUAGUGAGAGUGGAAAGCUCAUCAAGUGACGGUAACUACCCAGAAAGGGACGGCUAACUACGUG